GAGGACUCACUUGGCUUCAAAAGGACUAAGAGCAUAUGACAUGACUUAACAUGGGGAAGUGAUAUGCCUUUCUGAGCAUGGUAUAUAUAGCAAGAAAUGAUUUUGCUAGAGCAAAUCGCGAUGAACACCCAUCAUUAUCACAACCACGGAACAGGAACAAUUGGGGUGUAUUAUACCAGCGACGACUAUCGUUUUUGUGGCAACGAAUCAACCAUAACGCCAACGACAUUUGGCACCGUAUCGUCAGUGUCUUCUCCCUAUCUGGUGACUAUGCAACUGUUGCUUCUCCAUCUCCGGCGACUGUCACCACAACAAUUGUUUCUCAUUCUUGAUUUCAGGUUAGUGAUUGUCAGUUUUAUAUAUGUGUCUAUGUUGUAUCAAUAUGUGUAUAUUUUAUAUGUGUAUGUGCAUAAUAUAUGUGUAUGUGUGUAAAUUGUAUCUAUAUGUGUGUAAAAUAAAUGUGAAAUAUUCGUAGGCUUUGACAUGUGUUAACUUGUUAUGACUUAAUUAGGAAAGCCUCAAAGCUACAUAACAUGUAAAGUACAAUUCUAUAAUUGGAAAAAAAUAGGAUGCUAUAAUUCACAAUGUCAUUUAAAAUACAAUGCUUUAACUGGAAGAAAAACAAAAAACCAAAAAAAAUGUACGAUGCUGUAAUUCAUAAUGUCUUUUAAAGUACAAUGUUAUGAUAGAAAAAACAA